rnacentral:rRNA from 1 species
GACGAACGCUGGCGGCGUGCCUAACACAUGCAAGUCGAACGGGAGCAAGCGCUUCGGUAUUUGCUUUAGUGGCGAACGGGUGAGUAACGCGUGAAUAACCUGCCUUUCAGUGGGGGACAACAGUUGGAAACGACUGCUAAUACCGCAUAAGACCACAGAGCCGCAUGGCUCGGGGGUCAAAGGAGAAAUCCGCUGAAGGAUGGCCUCGCGUCCGAUUAGCUAGUUGGCGGGGUAACGGCCCACCAAGGCGACGAUCGGUAGCCGGACUGAGAGGUUGAACGGCCACAUUGGGACUGAGAUACGGCCCAG